rnacentral:rRNA from 1 species
GACGAAGGUGGCAAGCGUUGUUCGGAAUCACUGGGCUUAAAGCGCACGUAGGCGGCCUAUCAAGCGUCCUGUGAAAGCCCCCGGCUCAACCGGGGAACUGCAGGGCGAACUGGCAGGCUUGAGGCAGGUAGAGGCGAGUGGAACUCUUGGUGGAGCGGUGGAAUGCGUAGAUAUCAAGAGGAACGCCGGUGGCGAAAGCGACUCGCUGGGCCUGACCUGACGCUCAGGUGCGAAAGCCAGGGGAGCAAACGGG